rnacentral:rRNA from 1 species
CCCUUAGAUGUUCUGGGCCGCACGCGCGUUACACUGAUGCAUUCAACGAGUCCUUCCUUGGCCGAGAGGCCUGGGCAAUCUUUUGAACGUGCAUCGUGAUAGGGAUAGAUUAUUGCAAUUAUUAAUCUUGAACGAGGAAUUCCUAGUAAACGCAGUUCAUCAAACUGCAUUGAUUACGUCCCUGCCCUUUGUACACACCGCCCGUCGCUCCUACCGAUUGAAUGGUCCGGUGAAGCGUUCGGACCGUGGCCUUUGGACGGUUCGCCGUCUGUUGGCUGCGGGAAGUUCGUUAAACCUUAUCAUUUAGAGGAAGGAGAAGUCGUAACA